GAUGAAGAACGUAGCGAAAUGCGAUACGUAAUGUGAAUUGCAGAAUUCAGUGAAUCAUCGAGUCUUUGAACGCACAUUGCGCCCCCUGGUAUUCCGGGGGGCAUGCCUGUCCGAGCGUCAUUAUCCUCCCUCAAACCCCGGGUUUGGUGUUGGACCCAAGUUGUGUGAACAACUGGUCUCAAAGACAAUGACGGCGUCCGUGGGACCCUCGGUGCAACGAGCUUUUAGGAGCACGCAUCGAGUUGCAAGGACCUUCCGGGCCGGUCUCCUUUACCAUUUUACAAGGUUGACCUCGGAUCAGGUAGGAAUACCCGCUGAACUUAAGCAUAUCAAUAAGCGGAGGA
rnacentral:misc_RNA from 1 species